rnacentral:rRNA from 1 species
CUACGGAGGGAGCAAGCGUUGUUCGGAAUCACUGGGCGUAAAGCGAGUGUAGGUUGUCAGGUAAGUAGGAUGUGAAAGCCCGGGGCUCAACCCCGGAAUUGCAUUCUAAACUGCCUGGCUAGAGUCCCGGAGAGGGAGGUGGAAUUCCGAGUGUAGAGGUGAAAUUCGUAGAUAUUCGGAGGAACACCAGAGGCGAAGGCGACCUCCUGGACGGUGACUGACACUGAGACUCGAAAGCGUGGGGAGCAAACAGGAGUAGAAACCCCGGUAGUCC